CUUCAUGUACAUAGGUGACAUUUAACACUGUAGAAAAUCAGCAGUUUUUCUAUUUCGGUUAUGAUGGAAAUAAUUGGUUUUCCCUUUCAUCCCAAAUUG